CUUAAUGGCAAUUCUAGAGCUAAGAGGACUUCAUAAUUAGACCCAGUGACAAGGAAAAUGUAUUUUGAGUGUGUUAACUUGCGUAUGGAAGGGUAGGAGGCUUAUCAGCUUAAUAAAUAAUAUCUUCCAGCCAUUAUUGGUGGUGAUUCUAGAGAUAAGAUGACAUCAUGAUUAUACCCUGUGGAGAGGAGAACUGCGUAUUAGAGUAACAGGUUCAAGGUUCAUUAACUUAUCCCUUGCAAUAUGACUCACGGUGAACGACUGCCAUCGGUCACGUCUCCUCUGUGCUAAGGUGACGUGUAUAAAUCCGAUAAGGAAGUAGAGAUAACUGUCCUGCCUUGCCCACCACAGCCUCAACACCCAAUGUGACUGAGAUGACCACCGACGCCACGCGCACCUUUGAGUACCCAUUUAUUGACCCACAUGAAAGGGAGGAUGAACAACUUGGUGAGCUGCACGUCGAUUGCCCAGGCCGGAAUUUGGACCUGGGCCCACAGAUUCAUAGCUAGUCAUGCUAACCACUGUACCACAAAAGCAAUGAACUGAGGGAUGUGUUGGAAUAGAUAGGUAAGUAAAGAUAUAUAAAUUGUGAUAAGUAUUCCAUAAUUCAUGGUCAUUCUGGUUAGAUUUGUCAUUAUUUAGAGUUCCACAAAAAAGAUCUAGCGAAAGCCAUCAUAUUUACCUUCAUACUCUUUAGUUUUGUAACUGUAGCCUGUAUCACCAAGAUUAUUGAUUCUCACGUACCCUCACUGAACAAAAAACAGUAAGUUAAUUAACCCGGUAGCAGCGACGGGCCAAAUUUGUGGCUUUACCGUGUAGCAGUGACAGGACAAAUUUGUGCCAUGAUAUAAACCCCCCAAAAUAGAUGAUACGUAAACUGAUCACAAAUGCUUUGAUAUAUAUUAUGAAAUGGUUUGUGUGAGGGGUGAUUUUUUCUCAUUUUCUUGCUUAGAGGGACCAUUAAGAAACAUGAUCCUCGCUGCUACCAGGUUAAACUGCUAAGAGACAUUGUAACUCAUAUUUCAUAGGUCGCACAAAACCUUGUGGGACAUGUUCUACUUUGGUUGUUAUAGCCCUUUGGUAAGAGAUAUAAUGCUUUGUACAUAUGUAUGUCAGUAUCUUAAAAUCUUUAGUUUUAAAGGUACCUAAACUGUUGUCAAGAUGGUAAUUGACAAACUUAACAUAGUCUCACCAGUGCAAUACACACACACAACCCUAAAACACCAAGCUGCCAUACUAUGCAGGUAUAUUUUUAUAAUGAAACAUUGAAGGCUAGAUGGUCAACUGAGUGAAUCAGUCAUCAGUGGUUUAGAUUUGACUCCAUUGCAGAUUAUGAACAUGUACACAAUCAUUGGUCGGUGGCGGUCAAAACAUAACAAACAGUUCGUUAAACUGUAUGUGCAAAGGUUGGAUCCCUCAGAUAUAACAGAUUUUCAGAUAUAACAUCACCCUUCCCUGGUUCUUUAAAUGAGGGUUGACUGUAUUUGUUGUUUGAUCAUAUAUAUUCACUAUCUAUUGUAAUUCUCAUGUUUGUCUAGAUAUUUGGUUGACUGUCAUCAGGCAGCCACCUCAGUGCAUUAAUUGUACAGAUCCAACACUGCCAUGGUGGCCAUGUAUCUGUAGACACAUCAUCAUUGUCAUCUUUGCUUAACGUCAUUAUUUUCCCUCGUGGGGUUGAACGGGUACAUAUAUGAAAAUGUUGUCGUUCAUUUUGGUUUGGAGCAGGACUAUUUCUGCCUUGGAUGCCCUUCCUGUAGGCAACCCCGAGUUUCAGCAAAGGGCCUAAGUGGAUUGCCUACCAUGGCUAAUGAAUCCCACCUGCCCAGGUUUGUAAUUGGAGUUGUCCCUUUCCUAGAUGGAUUGCCUACCAUGGCUACGAGCCCCACCUGCCUGGGUUGAGUUGAAGUGGCAGGGCAUAUCCACAAGUAGGAAGGUCAUGCAAACAACACCUCUGGGGCUCUAACUGGUCUGAGAUCCUUCAGAGAUUUGGCCUGGGAUUGCAAGGUCACAGUUACCAAGGGUGCCACAAGGAGACACACUGUAGACACAUGCAUAGUGGAGGAAAUUGGAAGACACAAAGAAGGGUAAAAGGUACAGCUGGGAGAAUAUGCUAGAGCUGCGUGGCCUUGUAGCUCUUUGGCAUCUCUCUUGGGCCCAUGAGCCUUUGGUGGGUAAGAACUCAAUACUCCCGGGACACUAGGCCAAUGUGACGUCCAACUUACCACAGUCUACCUUCCCCAGGCUUUCCCAAGUACCCAUUUAUCAACCAGUCAAGCUGGAAGAGUUGGUUUCCACCUGCCAGGCCAGGAUUUGAAUCUGGGCCCACAGAUUCAUAUCUAGGCCCGCUAACCUCUGCCCUAAGGAUGAGGUGGAAUCCAGGGGCCACAGGAUAUCUGGACAGACAGACAAACAUCAAAUUCUUCAUUCUCAAGAGGUAAAAAUUGUGCUAGGAAUGCUCUGUAUCUCUCUUGUUGGUGAUAAGUCACAUCUCUGAAAAAAAAUACUAAUGUGGCAGGUAAGAUCAUCCUCAUCAGCUGUUGACCUCACUUCCCACAAAGGCAGGAUAUGAAUUGAAUAAGUUAUGACAACUUCAGCAAAUGUUCUCGGCAAACAUUGUCAAGAGGAGUCUGAGAUACACCUUCACUUACUGCAACACCGGAGUGGCAUCUCUUUAGGUUGCCUGUUAUGAUACUGGGAAAACAUGGGAGACAUUUGUAAUCCUCAUCUCUCUAAGACACCUACAAAACAGCAUCAAAACAGACUGCUUGCACACCGGAGUCCAUGUGCUCUUCUUUAAUUCUAGUUGGUUAAAGAUAAUUGAACAAAGAGAACUAGUGUUGUCAGCCUUCACCAAUUAAUUUCCAUUAUUAGAAAAAUAUGUACUUAACAAAUGUUUUCAGUUCUUCAACAGGUUUGCUUCCAGAUAAAAUACAUGCCAGUAAACAUCAGAGUUGCAACUGUCAAGAUGUGAUGGACAGGGGUACAUUUGCUAACUACUUUUCUUGGCAGACUUAACCAUGUAUAUUUGCAGAUCUCCAGCUAUUAACCAGUGUAAUAUCCAGAAUUCCACUUCCCUAUACAUCCACACAACAUCUAUGUGUCACAAAACGCACGGGAAAUUGAUCCAGAUCCGGAAAGGGGGGACAAACAUAUCCAACGCUGGGGAUUGAACUUGUGUCCAGCCAGACAGGAAGUCACUCUUCUAUCAUUCUGCUAAAGAGGCGCCCCCCUAAGCUUGUGGGCUUUUAGGGUCUUUCCGCAUCAGGUGAGUUACCACACCAGAAUGAUGCAUUUUAUUUAUUUGUUCAAGUAAACUUUGAUGCAGCAGGUCAUGUCAUGCUGACCAACUCUCCUGGCAAUUUGUGACAGCAAGCAGGUUUCAGCAUCUGCUUCUGUACAAAUGAGCUUCACAAGGCCCAGGAUGGGACUUCAUUUGUAGAUACAUUAUUUUAGUAUAUGAUGUAAGAUUGUCUGGUAAUAAAAUUAGAAUGAUGAA